GGAGCGCUGUUUCUGGAGGAGUUAGGGGAAGGAGGCUGCCUGGUAAGCCAGGAAAGGGGCUUCUGGCCGUUCUGUUGGAGCGCCUCUGACUGACUUCCCCCAUGUGUCCGUGUGGCCACACCGUGCUACUUUCAGAGGCAGUGGGCUUUUCGCUAAGGGAUAAAAAGAAGUAAAACCUUGCCUUUAGCGCAGCUCUCCUUCACUGGGCAGAUUGCUCUCCCUCCCCACUCUCCCAGGCCCAAAUUGGAUCUCAGCGCCUGGGAGCUCCAACUUUAGCAAGUGCGAAAUCCUGUCUUCGGUUUUGGAAUUUUCAUCCGCACAGACUAUAUCAGCCACGGAUAGGAUAUGUGAGAAUACCAGCAUGUCAAGGCUGGGAAUCAUCCUUAGGCAUCACCUAGCCAGUCCUGCCUCUCAUUUUAAGGACCAUGUUACUUCUGGGGUAGGCUCACCCGUGAAAGCACAGGCUACUGUUAGAACUUUGCCUUCAUCAAUGCUGAUAUCAGAUGGAAGAGCUUCAAUUUUAGGCGGAAUUCCUUUAUGGAACAAUGACAAAAAAAAGGUCUUAGAAUCACUGAAAAAAAUAAAGA
rnacentral:lncRNA from 10 species